rnacentral:rRNA from 1 species
GAUGAACGCUGGCGGCGUGCCUAAUACAUGCAAGUCGAGCGAACAGACGAGGAGCUUGCUCCUCUGACGUUAGCGGCGGACGGGUGAGUAACACGUGGAUAACCUACCUAUAAGACUGGGAUAACUUCGGGAAACCGGAGCUAAUACCGGAUAAUAUAUUGAACCGCAUGGUUCAAUAGUGAAAGACGGUUUUGCUGUCACUUAUAGAUGGAUCCGCGCCGCAUUAGCUAGUUGGUAAGGUAACGGCUUACCAAGGCAACGAUGCGUAGCCGACCUGAGAGGGUGAUCGGCCACAGUGGAACUAGGACAAGGUCCAGACCUCUACGGGAGGCAGCAGUAGGGAAUCUUCCGCAAUGGGCGAAAGCCUGACGGAGCAAAGCCGCGUGAGUGAUGAAGGUCUUCGGAUCGUAAAACUAUGUUAUUAGGGAAGAACAAAUGUGUAAGUAACUAUGCACGUCUUGACGGUACCUAAUCAGAAAGCCACGGCUAACUACGUG